rnacentral:misc_RNA from 1 species
UUUCCGUAGGUGAACCUGCGGAAGGAUCAUUAUUGUAUAAUCGAGGUGCGAGGGUUGUCGCUGAUACGAAAGGGCGUGCACGCCCGAGUGCUCCUAGACGCAUCCAUCUCACGCUUAUAUGCACUAACGCGUGGGUACUCCCUUGGAUUGUUUGGAGGGGGGCUUACGUUUCCACACACACCAUGGAUGCACUGUAGUAUGUAUUUUUUGUUUUUGCGAUCACGCCAUCAAUACAACUUUCAACAACGGAUCCAUUAGCUCUGACAUCGAAGACGAACC